rnacentral:rRNA from 1 species
UACGUAGGGGGCUAGCGUUGUCCGGAAUCAUUGGGCGUAAAGCGCGUGUAGGCGGUCCGGUAAGUCCGCUGUGAAAGUCGGGGGCUCAACCCUCGGAUGCCGGUGGAUACUGUCGGGCUUGAGUACGGAAGAGGCGAGUGGAAUUCCUGGUGUAGCGGUGGAAUGCGCAGAUAUCAGGAGGAACACCAAUGGCGAAGGCAGCUCUCUGGUACGUGACUGACGCUGAGACGCGAAAGCGUGGGUAGCAAACAGG